rnacentral:rRNA from 1 species
GAUGAACGCUGGCGGCGUGCUUAACACAUGCAAGUCGAACGAUGAAGCUCAGCUUGCUGGGUGGAUUAGUGGCGAACGGGUGAGUAACACGUGAGUAACCUGCCCUUAACUCUGGGAUAAGCCUGGGAAACUAGGUCUAAUACCGGAUAGGAGCGUCCACCGCAUGGUGGGUGUUGGAAAGAUUUAUCGGUUUUGGAUGGACUCGCGGCCUAUCAGCUUGUUGGUGAGGUAAUGGCUCACCAAGGCGACGACGGGUAGCCGGACUGAGAGGGUGACCGGCCACACUGGGACUGAGACACGGCCCAGACUCCUACGGGAGGCAGCAGUGGGGAAUAUUGCACAAUGGGCGAAAGCCUGAUGCAGCGACGCCGCGUGAGGGAUGACGGCCUUCGGGUUGUAAACCUCUUUCAGUAGGGAAGAAGCGAAAGUGACGGUACCUGCAGAAGAAGCACCGGCUAACUACGUG